rnacentral:rRNA from 1 species
UACGUAGGGGGCAAGCGUUGUCCGGAAUUAUUGGGCGUAAAGAGCGCGUUAGGCGGUCCGAUAAGUCGGCUGUGAAAGUCCAGGGCUCAACCCUGGAAAGCCGGCCGAUACUGUCGGACUAGAGUCCGGAAGAGGCAAGUGGAAUUCCCGGUGUAGCGGUGGAAUGCGUAGAGAUCCGGAAGAACACCGGUGGCGAAGGCGGUCUGCUGGGCGAGUAGCUGACACUGAGGCGCGACAGCGUGGGAGCAACAGG